AUUAAAAGGAGCCUUUAAAGCUUCGCUUAAAGAUGGGCCUGCGGCGUAUUAGCUAGUUGGUGAGGUAAUGGCUUACCAAGGCGACGAUGCGUAGCCGAACUGAGAGGUUGAUCGGCCACAUUGGGACUGAGACACGGCCCAAACUCCUACGGGAGACAGCAGUUAGGAAUAUUCGUCAAUGGGGGAAACCCUGAACGAGCAAUGCCGCGUGAACGAUGAAGGCCCUAUGGGUUGUAAAGUUCUGUUGCAUGGGACGAACGAUUAGGAUAGGAAAUGAUCUUAAUGUGACGGUACCAUGCCAGAAAGCUCCGGCUAACUACGUGCCAGCAGCCGCGGUAAUACGUAGGGAGCAAGCGUUAUCCGGAUUUAUUGGGCGUAAAGGGUGCGUAGGCGGUUUGUUAAGUAUGAGAUUAAAGCCCGAGGCUUAACCUCGGUUCGUUUCAUAAACUGGCAGGCUUGAGUGUGGCAGAGGUAAACGGAAUUUCUAGUGUAGCGGUUAAAUGCGUAGGUAUUAGAAGGAACACCAGUGGCGAAGGCGGUUUACUGGGCCAUAACUGACGCUGAGGCACGAAAGCGUGGGGAGCAAAUAGGAUUAGAUACCCUAGUAGUCCACGCCGUAAACGAUGAGUACUAAGUGUUGGGGCAACCCAGUGCUGAAGUUAACACAUUAAGUACUCCGCCUGAGUAGUA
rnacentral:rRNA from 1 species